GUGAGGAAUAUUGGGCAAUGGGCGCAAGCCUGACCCAGCCAUGCCGCGUGCAGGAAGACGGUCCUAUGGAUUGUAAACUGCUUUUAUACGGGAAGAAACACUCCCUCGUGAGGGAGCUUGACGGUACCGUAAGAAUAAGGAUCGGCUAACUCCGUGCCAGCAGCCGCGGUAAUACGGAGGAUCCAAGCGUUAUCCGGAAUCAUUGGGUUUAAAGGGUCCGUAGGCGGCCUUAUAAGUCAGUGGUGAAAUCCCAUCGCUCAACGAUGGAACUGCCAUUGAUACUGUAAGGCUUGAAUAAUUGUGAAGUAACUAGAAUAUGUAGUGUAGCGGUGAAAUGCUUAGAUAUUACAUGGAAUACCAAUUGCGAAGGCAGGUUACUAACAAUUGAUUGACGCUGAUGGACGAAAGCGUGGGGAGCGAACAGGAUUAGAUACCCGGGUAGUCC
rnacentral:rRNA from 1 species